rfam:Glycine max cultivar Williams 82 chromosome 10, whole genome shotgun sequence.
GCCUCUGAGGAUGAUUAGAAAAAUAACUUUCGUUUCCUAGUUGUCCAUGAGGAAAAUACAUGGAGACCUGAACUGAAGAGAC